CUCCUCUGUCUGGGUGUCUUCAUCAUCUGCUACUUCCUGGGCCCCCGCUGUCUCCUUCCUUGGGUGGGGAGCUCCGUAUACUCCUAUAACUCCUAGAGGGAGGCAGCAUUGGGUGAUGCCCAGGCUGAAGAGCCCUCAGCAUUCCUGCCCUGGACCUUCAUGCCAGCCCCUUUCCCUCCCUUGAACCUGGUUCUGCAUUCCCCACCACCUCCCAGGAUGGCAAGGAAGUGAGAGGUGGGCCUUUGGUCCCACCCCCAUCCCCUCUAGAUCCCACCCCUGAAGUCUCAUCGCUUUAAGCACUGCCCUUUCCAGGUGCUUCUUUUCAUGUGAUGAGGCCCUGUGAAGAAGAGACAGGAUAUACAGACGGGGGCAGCUGGAGACAGUUAUGAUGAGUGCCAGCUUUGUGUCUGAGCAUUCUGCUCCCAUGGACAUCCCCAACAACAGCAGGGACCAACCCAUGUCACUGUCAAAGGGCAGCUGAGAAGGGCCUGAGCCCCCAGGGCCCCUCACCUGGUGGGAAUGAGAGUGUGGGGAGCUUGCUUCUUGGCUGAAUGGUCUGCUGGGGUCUGGCAUAGAAAGCAGAUGGCUUAAUUCGGUCUGGUUCCUUUGGAGAGGGCUGGGUUACCUGGGCCCUGUGGCCUUGGGCCUAGAGAAGGGACACUGGGCUUGGACCCUGGUUGCUGGCCAUUCUUACCUGUCCUACUCCCCAGUUCAGGCUUCAGAGAGCCCCUGACGCCUGCAGGAACAUGGCAGAGGAGAUGCCGUCUGUCUUCGCAAACUACGUCCUCCCUCCUUGCUGCCUCUUCCCACCAGCCUGACUUAUCCAGGGACAGAGCAGUAGGUGCCUGGCACUCCUCGAUGCCCAGUGAAAGCAGACUGUGCUCCCCCACCCCCACGCCCCAUGCUCACUGGCUCAUUUCUUGGGAGGGCUUAGACCUGGAUAAUCUAAGUUCCCUUGGACCCUG